CAGUUAAAAAAGCUGAGAAGCUAAAAAGAUCAUUAAGCCGGGAGGGGGGAGGGGUUGUGGGUUUGUGAAAUCCGAUGAUAAAACUUUGAAAUCAUGAAUUGGACCAAAACAAUGACAAUUUUUUAUCCUGAUUGUUGAUUGGUAAAAGUUUGGUGUGUCAUUUUAUGUGUUUUAGUCAAUAAGGGAUUAGCAGGGGGAAAAUAAUUUUUAAAAAAAGGAUUACCUUGAUUUCUUUGGGGAGACUAGGGAGGACCCUUCCAUUCUGAGGAAGCUCAGCUUUUACCUCGUCUGACUCUCAGCACCUCUUCAGUCAAUCUGACCAUUCCUUCUGGCCGUGAGGUGUCACUGUUUAUAAAAUAGCAAUAUAUUUUACAAUAUUAGAGAGAAAGAAUGUGUUUUUAAAUUACUUUUCUGCUUCUCUUCUUGUAUGUGAAGUCUGCUUCCGUAAUGAAAAGUGAUGUUUUAUAUCAUAUAUUGUCACAGACGUUUCAUACUGUUCAAGCACAUAUGUUCAUAAUGUUGCGCUUCUGGUCAUUAAAUUGCUGUAUUAGGUUCCUGCUUUGUUAGAGGACGUUGUAUAGCUCUUGCUCCCAUGCUACCUACAUGUAAUCUGGGCAUUCGGUCUAGUCACUUGCCUAGUCGCCUCCUCGACAGCAUUUAUGUCUGUAAUGUGCUAUUUGCCAGACUUGUAUGUCGCUUUGAACAAAAGCAUCUGCUAAAUAUAAAUAAAUGUAAAUACUCUGCGAAGGCUCAGACCAGCUAGCUUAUCCCUGUGCUGCUCGCUGGAACAGAGUGAUUCACCACUGGCCGUCUGCUUCUUCUGAUUGGCCAGUGAUGGGCAAAGUGAGCAUUCAAAGCUCACGGGGUGGGAGGGGGUUAUUAUUGGGGUCAAGUGCUGCCGGUGUCUGCUUCUCUAACCCAGCUCACACUGCUGUGUCUCAGCUCACACUGCUAUAUCCCAGCUUACACUGCUGUGUCUCAGCUCACACUGCUCUAACCCAGCUCACACUGCUGAAUCCCAGCUCACACUGCUGUAUCUCAGCUCACACUGCUAUAUCACAACUCAAACUGCUGUAACCCAACUAAUGGUGCUCUGACCCAGCUUACAAGGUUCUAACCUAGCUCACACAGCUCUGACACACAGCUUCAACCUGGCCAAGCAUCUCUUUCACACUCUCUCAGUCAUUCAGCUCUGCUCUGUACCAUUCCCCCAAGCUCUUGAUGGGUCUCUCACUGAUAGUGGGGAUGAUCUCCUCUCCAAUUUUGAAGCGAAUGCGGUCCUGAAUGCGUCCUUUCCUCAAAACAAGGCUCCUUGACUUUGAUGGCAUAAGCUCCAUCCUGGCACCUGCGAUGAUCUUGGCAAGAUCUUCCAGAAUCCACCGACCUUCUGGAACUGAUCUUGCAGUUAUUGUCAGAUCAUCCAUGAAUGCCUUAACGGGGGCCUGCUGGACACCAUUUGCCAGAACCGCACCUCUCCUUGGCUUCUCCACUGUCUUGACCAGGAGGUUCAUUGCAGCUGCAAAUAGGAUGACCGAAAUUGUGCACCCUGCAACAAUGCCUUUUUCCAGCCUCUGCCAGCUGCUUGUGAAGUACCCGCAGGUAAAUCACAUCUUGAAGCGGUUGAAAUAAUCCUGCAGGAGAUGCUGUACUUUUCCUGGGACAUGGUGGGCUUGCAGAGUGAGGUCCACCAGCUUGUGUGGAACAGCUCCAUAAGCGUUGGAUAUAUCGAGCCAGAAGACUACAAGGUUUCCCUGAUUGCGCUUUGCAUUCUCAAUUACCUUUGAGAUGACGCUUCUGUGCUCAAUGCACCCUGGAACUCCUGGGACACCCCCCUUCUGAACUGCGGUAUCGAUAUACUUGUUGCUGAGCAGAAAGGAGCGCAAAGUGUCCAGGAUGACAUCGAAUAUCUGGUCACCCUACUUCAAUAAACCCUGAGAGAAGCACCAAGGCUGGACUGGGCAAAGUCUUAUCAAAGAAAACUGGCCAAGUCAUCAACUAAAAGGCAGCAACGCUCAAUCCACAUCUAUCCUCUCUGCUGAGGGGACUCGUGGACUUUGAGUAGGACUUCAUUUAAAAUGGUGAGCUUACUCAGUGCCAAUACUCACUUAUAUUUAUCAAAACACCAGCGUGUCUCAUUCCUAUAAGUCUUUCUCCCUCUCAGACUCACACUCCUUCUCCCGCUCUCCCUUACAGAGUGAAAAGUCUGAACCCCUCUUCCAUUCCCUCACUCUGACAUUAUUAUUUAUUCUCACAAUCAUUCUCAUACUCGUGGCGUCUGUAAUUCUCACACUGUGUAUUCUGUCUGUUAUUCUAUGUGUUAUUUGUGGCCUCUUUCAGAAACUACACAUGCUGUACAACAGUUUGAAUGUCCCAGGCUGGGAUGUUUCGUCUGGCUGAGGGGUUAGUUCAGGUCUUUAUGUUCAUAGUCCACAUCAUGAUAAGAGGAAAGGAGGAGCACAUAGGCUGAUUUUGUAUAUGAGUUAUGUUGCAAUGAUUUAUUAUGGAACUCAUAUCUCUCUCUCUCUCUCUCUCUCUCUCUCUUUCACACACAAACACACACACAGUCAGACAGCUACCAAGGCUGGAUUGAAAAACUGGUUCUAAUGAGCCAGAAAUCAGUACUUGGACUUCAGCACUUAAACAUGUGCCUUGUUAGAGCUUCAAGAUUCAGUUCAUAUUUAGACAAGCUGUUGUUUCCAACAUUAUUUUAAAAUAAAAGGUAAAGUGCGCUAAGAUGCUGUGGGUUGUUUUCUAUCGCAAUGUAAUUACAUGAUUUCUAUUGCAAUGUAAUUACACUCACAGAGAACAUUUUGUUCUGUGCUUGUACAGCUUUGGACAGAUUUUGGGGCAACCAGUAAGAUCUAUUCCUGCCUAUUUCUUAACUAUAGUGCCUUUAAUCAUAUCUAGUAUGACUUUUUAUAUGUAUAUAACCUGCUAAAUCAAAAUUAAUUUAGGGUAAAAAAAAACUAGGUGGAUUAAAAUGUAUGUAAAAAUACAAUUUGCAUUAAAACACAUCAGUCAACUUUAAGAUACAGUAAAAAAAAAAACAGCUAUAUAAUCAUGGGCGUAAAUCCCGGGGGGGACGGA